UUGCUUGGGCAGCAUACUUGCUAAAAUUAGAAUGGAUACAGAGAUGAUUAGCAUGCCCCUGUGCAAGGGUGACAUGCAAAUUUGUGAAGUCUUCCGUAUUUUU